GGCGGCGUGCUUAACACAUGCAAGUCGAACGAUGAACUGGUGCUUGCACUGGGGAUUAGUGGCGAACGGGUGAGUAACACGUGAGUAACCUGCCCUUGACUCUGGGAUAAGCCUGGGAAACUGGGUCUAAUACCGGAUAUGACUCCUCAUCGCAUGGUGGGGGGUGGAAAGCUUUUGUGGUUUUGGAUGGACUCGCGGCCUAUCAGCUUGUUGGUGGGGUAAUGGCCUACCAAGGCGACGACGGGUAGCCGGCCUGAGAGGGUGACCGGCCACACUGGGACUGAGACACGGCCCAGACUCCUACGGGAGGCAGCAGUGGGGAAUAUUGCACAAUGGGCGGAAGCCUGAUGCAGCGACGCCGCGUGAGGGAUGACGGCCUUCGGGUUGUAAACCUCUUUCAGUAGGGAAGAAGCCGUAAGGUGACGGUACCUGCAGAAGAAGCGCCGGCUAACUACGUGCCAGCAGCCGCGGUAAUACGUAGGGCGCAAGCGUUAUCCGGAAUUAUUGGGCGUAAAGAGCUCGUAGGCGGUUUGUC
rnacentral:rRNA from 1 species